AGCCUGUCGCGACAUCGCGAUGCGGCGCCGCGGCGCGCUCUUGCGCCGUUGCACGGCUGCAGUAGCUUGUGCCGUUGCAUUGCUGCGCCGUGUUGCACUGUUGCACCACGUUGCACUAUUGCACAGUUGCACCAAGUUGCAACGCAUUGCGCCGUUGCACUGCUGCACCAUGUUGCGCCGUUGCACAGCUGCACUGUGUUGCGAUGCCACAUGGAUGCUCCAUGUUGCACAUUUGUGCUGUUCCGCCACGUUGCACUGUUGCAUCGCAUUGCACUGUUGCACAGCUGCAUCGUUGCACGUGUUGCGCCAUUGCGCUGCCACACCACGGUGCACCAUUGCACUGCAGGGCAUGGUGCACCAUUGCACAGCUGCUCCAUGUUGUACCAUUGCACUGCUGCACCACAUUGCACUGCUGUGCUGCAUUGCACCGUUGCACAGCUGCACUGUGUUGUGCAUUUGCAAUAUUGUGCCGCAUUGCACUAUUGUGCCGCAUUGCACCAUUGUGCAGCUGCACUGUGUUGCGCUGUUGCACAGAUGCUCCACGAUGCAUGUUUGCAGUAUUGCACCGCAUUGCACUAGUACCACAUUGCACUAUUGCACGGCUGCACCGCGUUGCGCCAUUGCAUGGCUGCUCCAUGUUGCACCAUCACACUUCUGCGCUGUGUCACACCACCGUGCAAUGGCACCACGGCGUCGUGCUGCACUGCUGGGGCACCGCGUUCGCUCUGCUGUGUUGCUGUGCGCUGCACCUGCACAUCAUGGUGCUGCGGGGUGGCCCCACUGCAUGACCUCACUGCACGGUGUCACUGCCCUGUGCUGCGCUGCUGCAUCGCUGAGCACGAUGCUUCCCCACGCCACUGUCCCGGUGGCGUUGCAUUGCUGCGUGCAGCCCUGCCUCGUUGCACCAUGCCUCUGCCCCACGCCACUGCAUGGCUGCACCACCGCUGCCCUGCUCCGUCUCCUCGUGCCACCACCGGGCUGCACCACACCACGAGGCCCUUGGCCCAGGCCCUACUGCACGUGGGGCUGCCCCACGCUGCCCUGCUCUGUGCCCCUCACCCAAAAGCCCACCCCCAAGUGUCCCCAGCUCCAUGCCUGGGUGUCCCCCCCAACACAUCCCCACGCGUCCCCUUCCCCGUAGCCCCCCUGGUUCACCCCCAUGCCCUGGGGCACCUCCCGGUGUUCCCCGGGUGCCUCCCGUUGCAUCCCUGCAUCCCCCCAGCUCCAUCCCCCCCCAUCA
rnacentral:lncRNA from 1 species